rnacentral:rRNA from 1 species
UGAUGACGAGACGCUAAGGCGUUGAAGUGGUGUAUGUCAGACUUCCAAGAAAAGCUCGCAAUGUCAUAGAUAAAAAAUGCCUGUACCAUAACCGACACAGGUGGGUAGGUAGAGUAUACUAAGGGGCGCGAGAUAACUCUCUCUAAGGAACUCGGCAAAAUGACUCCGUAACUUCGGGAGAAGGAGUGCCUUAUUUAUAAGGUUGCAAUAACAAGAUCCAAGCAACUGUUUAUCAAAAACACAGGUCUCCGCUAAGUCGUAAGACGAUGUAUGGGGGCUGACGCCUGCCCAGUGCCAGAAGGUUAAAGAAGUUGGUUAGUGUAAGCGAAGCUGAUAACUGAAGCCCUGGUGAACGGCGGCCGUAACAAUAACGGUCCUAAGGUAGCGAAAUUCCUUGUCGGGUAAGUUCCGACCCGCACGAAAGGCGUAAUGAUUUGGAUACUGUCUCGGAGAGAGGCUCGGUGAAAUAGACUUGUCUGUGAAGAUGCGGACUACCUGCACCAGGACAGAAAGACCCUAUGAAGCUUUACUGUAACUUGAAAUUGGAAUUGGACUUUGCUUGCGCAGUAUAGGUGGGAAGCGUUGAAGAUACUCUUGCGGGACUAUUGGAGCUAUCAGUGAGAUACCACUCUUGUAAUGUUAGAUUUCUAACUUUGAACCAUAAUCUGGUCAAAGAACAGUUUCAGGCGGGCAGUUUGACUGGGGCGGUCGCCUCCUAAAUGGUAACGGAGGCGUACAAAGGUUUCCUCUGAACGGAUAGAAAUCGUAUCUAGAGUGUAAAGGCAUAAGGAAGCUUGACUGUGAGACCUACAAGUCGAGCAGGGACGAAAGUCGGUCUUAGUGAUCUGACGGUACUGAGUGGAAAGGCCGUCACUCAACGGAUAAAAGUUACUCUAAGGAUAACAGGCUGAUCUCCCCCAAGAGUUCACAUCGACGGGGAGGUUUGGCACCUCGAUGUCGGCUCAUCGCAUCCUGGGGCGGUAGUACGUCCCAAGGGUUGGGCUGUUCGCCCAUGAAAGCGGUACGCGAGCUGGGUUCAGAACGUCGUGAGACAGUUCGGUCCAUAUCCGGUGUAGGCGUUAGAAUAUUGAGAGGAGCCUUCUUUAGUACGAGAGGACCGAGAAGGACACACCGCUGGUGUACCAGUUAUCGUGCCAACGGUAAACGCUGGGUAGCUAUGUGUGGAGAGGAUAACCGCUGAAAGCAUCUAAGUGGGAAGCCCACCUCAAGAUGAGUAUUCUCAUC